UUCGGUGGCGAUGGCGUCAAGGUCACACCCGUUCCCAUCCCGAACACGGAAGUUAAGCUUGACUGCGCCGAUGGUACUGCAUGGGCAACUGUGUGGGAGAGUAGGACGCCGCCGGAU
rnacentral:rRNA from 1 species